AACGUAGGAGACAAACGUUAUCCGGAGUUACUGGGCGUAAAGGGCGUGCAGGUGGUUUGUUAAGUUCGGCGUGAAAGCUCCUGGCUAAACCGGGAGAGGUCGUCGGAGACUGGCAAGCUAGAGGGUGAUAGAGGCGGGUGGAAUUCCGGGUGUAGUGGUGAAAUGCGUAGAGAUCCGGAGGAACACCAGUGGCGAAGGCGACCCGCUGGGUCACACCUGACACUGAGACGCGACAGCAUGGGGAGCAAACGGG
rnacentral:rRNA from 1 species